rnacentral:lncRNA from 1 species
GGAAGAUCCGCACAUGAUUGGGCGGAUAGCUUGUGCCAACGUGCUGAGUGACCUCUACGCCAUGGGCAUCACGGAAUGUGACAACAUGUUACUGUUACUCAGUGUCGGCCAGAAUAUGAAUGAGGAGGAGUGAGAAAAGGUAACACCACUCAUGAUCAAAGGUUUCCGGGAUGCUGCUGAGGAGGGAGGAACUGCAGUCACAGAACUGGGGAUAGAACUCAGGACCUUGUAAAACAUGUUCUUUUAAAUAAAUGACAGAAAAUGAACCUGAAAAGGUCACCAAAUGAUUCAAUCACCUGGUAUGUAAGCACAAGGAUGGAUGAAUGAGUCUGGAUGAAUCAAAAAGGAGGAAAGCAAAACACAACCCAAGAUGCUAAACUAUUCCGAAAAUUUAAGUGGCUUGCUGUGUCAGUUGAUGCUUACCAGAGUCAGAUGUAGAAGAAUGGAAGAGGUCCGCGCUGGA